GACGAACGCUGGCGGCGUGCUUAACACAUGCAAGUCGAACGGAAAGGCCCUGCUUUUGUGGGGUGCUCGAGUGGCGAACGGGUGAGUAACACGUGAGUAACCUGCCCUUGACUUUGGGAUAACUUCAGGAAACUGGGGAUAAUACCGGAUAGGAGCUCCUGCUGCAUGGUGGGGGUUGGAAAGUUUCGGCGGUUGGGGAUGGACUCGCGGGUUAUCAGCUUUUUUGUGGGGUUGGGGCUUACAAAGGGUUUGAAGGCUAGCCGGCCUUGGCGGGUGACCGGCGACAUUGGGACCGAGAUACGGCGCAGAAUCCUACGGGAGGCAGCAGUGGGGAAUAUUGCACAAUGGGCGGAAGCCUGAUGCAGCAGCGCCGCGUGCGGGAUGACGGCCUUCGGGUUGUAAACCGCUUUCGCCUGUGACGAAGCGUGAGUGACGGUAAUGGGUAAAGAAGCACCGGCUAACUACGUG
rnacentral:rRNA from 1 species